rnacentral:rRNA from 1 species
UCCUGUCUGAACAUGGGGGGACCACCCUCCAAGCCUAAAUACUCGUAUGUGACCGAUAGCGAACCAGUACCGUGAGGGAAAGGUGAAAAGCACCCCGACGAGGGGAGUGAAACAGUACCUGAAACCGAACGCCUACAAUCAGUUGGAGGGCCCUUGCGGCCUGACAGCGUACCUUUUGUAUAAUGGGUCAUCGACUUGGUCUAUCUAGCAAGCUUAAGCCGUUAGGUGUAGGCGCAGCGAAAGCGAGUCUGAAUAGGGCGACGAGUUCGAGGGAUAAGACCCGAAACCGAGUGAUCUAGCCAUGUGCAGGUUG